ensembl:lncRNA
GCCUGAGCAUUUUUACGCACAAAAACAGAAGCAAGGCCAUCUAUCCCCUUUAAUAUUUAGCUCCAUCAGUGCUAAUAUGGCAUCAUAGCUGUAUUGAUAGGUGCUCACAUAAAGGCUCCCUUUACAGCUCCGUGACAUUUUUGAUGGUGGAAAUUAAUUAUUCACAGGUUAGGAUUAAGGUAGACACGCUCAGGGAGAUGGGCUGUGGCUACCGUUGGAGGGUCAAUAAACUCUCCCAACAAACAAAAUACUAAGCAGAGUUGCUAAGAGGGUCGAUUACAGAAACAGCAGAGAGGGUUUUAUUAUUGUUUUUUUUAAGGGGGAAAAAUAGAUUUAAUAAAUGAAACCGUGACAACAGUUAUGUUUGUUGGCAUAAAGGGGGGUGGGAAGUGUAGGACUGCAGGGUUUGACAAACGGCUGUGUGGACAUUUCAACGUGCAAUACCCCGGGAAGGAGCUGCAGAGCGGUGCGCAGAGAGCCAAGGCAUUCACCGUCUCCAAGUCUCUCUUACACUCUGUAAACACAACCAGCCCGGCAGACUCUGCUAUUGAAGACUGAUAUUUUCAUAAGCUAAAUACUGUCGUUCCCAUUGAUUUGUGCACUAACGCUUGACUUUUUUUUUCAUCCUCCUCCUUUUGGACAACCAUGCAUGGGACAGUCCCAGCAGAAAAACCACCACAGAGCAUUUUAAAAACACCACAACACAACACUCUGCUACUCACGACUCCCCCCAUCCCAUGUUUGAAAUACUCUCAGGAAACAAUGCAGGAGUUCACAUGAUCAAGCAAGGUACCCAGGUAAUUACCUUGCAUUGUCAAAUAAAGCGACCACUGAUUCAAAUGAGGAGUGAAAUAUCAAAGACCAGCAUUGCCUUUGCAGCCACUACUUAUCCACACAGGAGACAGAGAGGAGAUCUGAGAGCUCGGGGACCUGCAGGGAGGCAACAACAACACUCAGCCUUCCUUUCCUAGAUAAAUAUCACCAAUGGGAGCAACAGAGCCAAACAUGCCCAAGUUCACUAGUAACAACAUAUUUAUUUGUAUUACAUAUCCUACUUAUCCAUUAUUAGCUUGUGCAUCCUUUAAAGUGGCCACAGUGCAGCUUUAACAAGAAGGAUUUUUUGCUAGAUUCCUGGACCCUCCUGAUGUGCUUCCUGCUGAGUCUCUCUCAAAGGUCAAAGGUUGGAAAUUUAUGAAUGUGACUGCAGCCUGGAGGAGUCGCAGGCAGCGUUUCGAAUCUUCUCCUGCAGCGUUUAUUCUAUAUUCGUAGAUGAAACACAAAGAGAGGAAUAGAGAGAGGCUAGGAUUAGAAUUGAGUAGCGCAUUAUUGUUUGGCAGCACAAGUCUUUAGCCAAAUUAGCUGCACAAACCACACGAUCAUUUAUAACGUGCGGCGUUUGCAUUUGAUUUUCCACUUGCUUAAAGUGCAGUCUCGAAUAAACUUUUGAAAUCAGAACGCGUUCUUUUCCUCCUACUUCACUUGCACUACUCAGCUUCUCUGACAUAAUUUAAUACACUGUGUAAUUUCUUCUUCUCCUGCGUAAUGACACCUUGAUUCGAGCGGCACUGACAACAAGACCUUUGACACCUUGACACAGUAAGUGGAUGGUGAUCUCAGUGAACAAUGUCACUGCUCUGGAAACAACACCCAAAAGAAGAAAAAAAAAAAACUCAUUUCUGAUCCCUUCACGUUCGAACUAGACAAGCGGCGUCCUGGGACUUCAGUUCAGCACAGAAAGACUACCUGUAAUUUGACUUGCCACGUCUAAAUGGAAGUUGAAUAGGUUACAUUGUGCAACAACAAAUAAAAUGCUUGUGAUGCUUUA